CCUUGAGAAAGUAGCGGCGUCGUGCUCAUGCAUUUAUCAACCUUCCUGUCUCGUAUAUCCCCCUGUCCUCAUCAGACCAUCAGUACCAGCAACUAACCGCAGGUGAUCCCCAGAAUAAGGCCGGGGUCUCCGACGAGGGGCGGACACCAUAUCCAUCCUGCCGAUCCGGCCUGUCAUGUGUCGCCAAUCCGGCGGCCUAUCAUGGAGGAGAACUGAGAAGGAACUGGAGAAUCGCCAGCAGAUCAGCGUCUGAAACUAGUCCAUGCUAUAGUUCAAAACAAAAAUAGCAUGUCAGGAUUUCGUAAACUAGUACCUACUGCUAGGUGUACAAAAAG
rnacentral:lncRNA from 1 species